rnacentral:misc_RNA from 1 species
UCGGCCAGGCCCUUGUCGGUCACCUUGCCGUUCUGGACGAACUCCGGGUCCCCCUGGAAGAUCGAUUCGGGGAAGAGCUCGCCGCGCGGAAUCUUGAUCCCGAACUCUCGUUCGAGCCGGAAGACGAUGUCAAGGAAGUCGAUCGACUCGGCGCCGAGAUCGCCUUGGAGCGUCGCUGCGGGCGUGAUCUCUUCCUCGUCCACAUUCAGCGCUUCCACCAGCGUCGCGGAGACCUUUUGAUAGAUUUCGUCCUGGCUCG